rnacentral:sRNA from 1 species
GCCGGGCGCAGUGGCACACGCCUGUAAUCCCAGGGACUCGGGAGGCUGAGAUAGGAGGAUCACGAGUUCAAAGCCAGCCUCAGCAACAAAUGAAGCACUAAGCAACUCAGUGAGACCCUGUCUCUG